AAUUGAAGAGUUUGAUCAUGGCUCAGAUUGAACGCUGGCGGCAGGCCUAACACAUGCAAGUCGAACGGUAACAGGAAGAAGCUUGCUUCUUUGCUGACGAGUGGCGGACGGGUGAGUAAUGUCUGGGAAACUGCCUGAUGGAGGGGGAUAACUACUGGAAACGGUAGCUAAUACCGCAUAACGUCGCAAGACCAAAGAGGGGGACCUUCGGGCCUCUUGCCAUCGGAUGUGCCCAGAUGGGAUUAGCUAGUAGGUGGGGUAACGGCUCACCUAGGCGACGAUCCCUAGCUGGUCUGAGAGGAUGACCAGCCACACUGGAACUGAGACACGGUCCAGACUCCUACGGGAGGCAGCAGUGGGGAAUAUUGCACAAUGGGCGCAAGCCUGAUGCAGCCAUGCCGCGUGUAUGAAGAAGGCCUCGGGUUGUAAAGUACUUUCAGCGGGGAGGAAGGGAGUAAAGUUAAUACCUUUGCUCAUUGACGUUACCCGCAGAAGAAGCACCGGCUAACUCCGUGCCAGCAGCCGCGGUAAUACGGAGGGUGCAAGCGUUAAUCGGAAUUACUGGGCGUAAAGCGCACGCAGGCGGUUUGUUAAGUCAGAUGUGAAAUCCCCGGGCUCAACCUGGGAACUGCAUCUGAUACUGG
rnacentral:rRNA from 1 species